AUUUUAUUUUGAAAUCUUUAACUCGCAUGCUUUUAUUUUGAAAGCGCAAUACAGCGUCUUGCCACCGGCCCGCCCCCUCAACGGCAGACUGUUUGGGAAGCGGAGUCUGCAGCUGGCAGUGGCGACAGGUAGUCAGAAGUUAAGAUGAAAAGACAGCAGCAGCUCACUUUAACUGAUUUCUUUCUCAUGGGGAAGAAAAGAAAGAAAGGAAAUAGAUCAGAUGAAGUUCAGCUGGAAACUAACAGUGGUGACACUGGAGAGGGUGAUGCAGGGAGAGCUGCAGUGUUUGUACCUGAGAGUGUCCAGUCUCCAGAGAGGAUCCUCCAGUCCCGCUGACAGUAGCUUCACUCCUGAGUCUCCUGGAUGAUUGUAGCUCAGGUCCAGCUCUCUCAGAUGGGAGGGGUUGGAGCUCAGAG